CCAGGCUCGAACGGGGAGUGACAUUCGGUGAAAGCCGGCUUCCGCAAGGACACUCCUCGAGGUGCUGCAUGGCUGUCGUCAGCUCGUGUCGUGAGAUGUUGGGUUAAGUCCCGCAACGAGCGCAACCCUUGUCUUCUGUUGCCAUCACGUUAUGGUGGGCACUCUGAAGAGACUGCCGGUGACAAACCGGAGGAAGGUGGGGGAAUGACGUCAAGUCAGCAUGGCCUUUAUGUCUGGGGCUACACACGUGCUACAAUGGCAGAUACAAACCGUCGCGAUACCGCAAGGUGGAGCUAAUCGGAGAAAGUCUGUCUCAGUUCCGGAUUGCAGGCUGCAACUCGCCUGCAUGAAGUUGGAAUCGCUAGUAAUCGCGGAUCAGCACGCCGCGGUGAAUACGUUC
rnacentral:rRNA from 1 species